UACAAGCCAGAAAAUCACGUCCAGUGGAUGGAUGCGGGUGUGGCCACAGAGCGGUUGGGACUCCCCUCGGGGAAAGAGAGUGAUGAUGUCUACUCUGUCCAGUGACUCCACUGGAAGCCCAGAGACCACCCACCUUCUAGAGCUACGCACCUAACGCUGUGCUGGCCACCAGAGCAACACCACUGUCUAAGAUCCGGUGCUGGACCUACUUCAUGGACCAGUCUUCUCCUGACCAAGCCCUGAGCUCCCGUCUUCAAGGACAACCCUGAAUCCUGCUUUUCCUGAGGACAUUGGGAGACUAAGUGUUUUACAUUCACACCCUGCAGGUCCUUUCAGAUGCAGAUAUACGAUGGAGCUGAGAGAGACCUGGUCUUGCCGUUAAUUUUGCCAGAACAGAUUUUCGGCAGAAACAGGCCAGGCUCUGUCCCCCAGGUAACCAGAAGGCCGGCUUCCAGCUGAAAUCUGUCCGACGAUCCAAGUAAAGGAGUGGGAGGCUCCCUGCUGCCCCGUCCCUCUGCCUUUGCCGGCCACAGUGUCUGGCACUGAGGCUGUGACCGCACGGAGUCCUGAGUGGCAGAGACGUGCAAGACAAAUGAAAAUUAAGUUGCAGUUAAAUGGGAGAAAAGAGCCCAGGCUUAUUUUUCCAGUUCUUGGUGCCUCCUGACUGUGCUCCCCCCUGCCUGAGGGCAGUUUUCCACCAGCAUCUGAGAGUGGCUUCCAGGAUCCACUGGCCCUUUCUUCACAUCGUGUGUGGCCACUGUCCUCUCAAGGGUGGUUACUUGCAUGUGUUUCCUAUAAUCUAAAGUGUGAACAACCCCCACCACCCUGGGGUGCCAGAAGUCCCCUCACUAGACUGCUUUAAGAUCCAACUUUCAACUAUUGAAUAGGAAUUGGUACAAGAAUCGGCCAACUGGAGCAGGUGAGCUGCCCCACACCUGCCAAGAGUGGCAUGUGCAUAUGGGGCACAUUCCCUGAGCACUCACACUCUGCUGGGCAUUUAUGCUCCCAAGAGAUCCCUUUCCUGUCCCAGGAGCCCAUGUUUUCCCAGGAAACCCUUAUUCUCCUUGAUCCCCUAUCCUUACCCCCAAUGCCCCCCACCACUACCCCACUGACAGAGUAGCAGCACCCCUAGUAGCCUACCCACACAUCCCCAGUGUCAUUUAAGGUGGCAUGUAUGACCACUCUGACCAGGUGCUUAUAGUUACAAAUUUGCAAAUAAUCCUACUAUUGGCAUCAAUUGCUAAUUUUAUUGUCUGCAGAAAUUUGACUUGCUCUCUAUGCAAAUCUAACAAAUACAUUGAUGAUAUCCAUCAGGGCUGCCAAAGUAUCACUGGCGGUUUGCUUGCAGGUCAUUUUAAGUCUUCUGUAGGUCCUAUCCUCUCUUAACCAGGGCUCCUCUGGCCAGGGUGGAGAGAUCAGGGCUUGAACACUUAUGCCAUGGAUAGGGGUAGUGUUUGCCUCCAAGAACUGGGGACAUUUGGACAGGAGACCUGGGAUUAUUGUCAGCUCGUAGAGUCCGGGAGAGCCCAGCUUGAGACCUGUGGGGUCAGUGGAGCCGUGUGCUAGGAUCAGCAUUCCACAGACUGCCUGGAGCUGUGCAGAGCCUCCUAGGAGCUGAACUUGAUCAACUUUCAGUCUGAGCUUGAACAAAAUCCAAAAGAGAUUGGGUUGGAGACAGCUGGCUGCCGGGGCCUGUGGCUUGUAGCUACUGGGAGUGGUGAGCCAAGGAACCUUGAGAGGCAAACCCAGUCUCACCCCGGGGUGAAAUGCAAAACUGACAGCCCACUGCAGAGACUCCCCUGUGAUGUCUGCUUCUGACCUUGGUGACAGGAAGAACCCAGGGUUCUCACUGUGCCUGUCCCAGGAUGAGCACAUCCCAGCUCAGCACAGACUCCAGAGGCUGCCUGGCCACCCCAUGCUGCAAAGGACUCCCAUUCAUCUGCCGGGAAACAGGCGGUGGCACCAAGGAGUGUCGUGUUCAGUUUUAAAAUGCCACAAAUAACAGAUUUAUAGAUUUUUCUAAAUACAUUAUUUUAGCUUGACAGCAUUAAUCAUUCAUGC